rnacentral:tRNA from 1 species
GGAGGCGUACCCAAGAGGCCGAAGGGGGCAGGUUGCUAACCUGUUAGACCGGGUUUCCCGGUGCUCGAGUUCGAAUCUCGACGCCUCCGCCA